GAUUUCCUCAAGAUUGCCAAGCUACAGCAAGGAGAGUGCAAACCAGCUGGACAAAUGUGGAAACCUGAUGCUACUAGAAGUGGAAGAACAGAAGAUGAAGAGGGUGGUGGCUGCUGCGAGUUAUCGUUAUCUCUCUCAUUGCCUCAUCCUUCAUCAUGUACCAGUGAGAUGAGCGAGGCGUUCUCAUCAUCCGUCUCUAGGUACACUUUCAAAGAUUGUUCUGGCUCUU
rnacentral:misc_RNA from 1 species